rnacentral:rRNA from 1 species
CCCUUAGAUGUUCUGGGCCGCACGCGCGCUACACUGAUGCAUUCAACGAGCCUAUCCUUGACCGACAGGUCCGGGUAAUCUUUGAAUCUGCAUCGUGACGGGGAUAGAUUAUUGCAAUUAUUAAUCUUCAACGAGGAAUGCCUAGUAGGCGCAAGUCAUCAGCUUGCGUCGAUUACGUCCCUGCCCUUUGUACACACCGCCCGUCGCUCCUACCGAUUGGGUGUGCUGGUGAAAUGUUCGGAUCGGCCGUUUGUCGCGGUUUCCGCGGCUCGUGGCUGAGAAGUUCAUUAAACCCUCCCACCUAGAGGAAGUAAAAGUCGUAACA